GAAUAUUGGACAAUGGGGGGAACCCUGAUCCAGCCAUGCCGCGUGUGUGAAGAAGGCCUUUUGGUUGUAAAGCACUUUAAGCGAGGAGGAGGCUACCGGGAUUAAUACUUUAGGAUAGUGGACGUUCCUCGCAGAAUAAGAACAGGCUAACUCUGUGCCAGCAACCGAGGUAAUACAGAGGGUGCGAGCGUUAAUCGGAUUUACUGGGCGUAAAGCGUGCGUAGGCGGCCAAUUAAGUCAAAUGUUAAAUCCCCGAGCUUAACUUGGGAAUUGCAUUCGAUACUGGUUGGCUAGAGUAUGGGAGAGGAUGGUAGUAUUCCAGGUGUAGCGGUGAAAUGCGUAGAGAUCUGGAGGAAUACCGAUGGCGAAGGCAGCCAUCUGGCCUAAUACUGACGCUGAGGUACGAAAGCAUGGGGAGCAAACAG
rnacentral:rRNA from 1 species